rnacentral:rRNA from 1 species
UACGAAGGGAGCUAGCGUUGUUCGGAAUUACUGGGCGUAAAGGGCGCGUAGGCGGCCUGCUAAUUCGAACGUGAAAUCCCUGGGCUCAACCCAGGAACUGCGUCCGAUACUGGUUGGCUUGAAUCCGGGAGAGGGAUGUGGAAUUCCAGGUGUAGCGGUGAAAUGCGUAGAUAUCUGGAGGAACACCGGUGGCGAAGGCGACAUCCUGGACCGGUAUUGACGCUGAGGCGCGAAAGCCAGGGGAGCAAACGGG